rnacentral:rRNA from 1 species
AUGCACGCUGGCGGCGUGCCUAAUACAUGCAAGUCGAGCGAACAGACGAGGAGCUUGCUCCUCUGACGUUAGCGGCGGACGGGUGAGUAACACGUGGAUAACCUACCUAUAAGACUGGGAUAACUUCGGGAAACCGGAGCUAAUACCGGAUAAUAUAUUGAACCGCAUGGUUCAAUAGUGAAAGACGGUUUUGCUGUCACUUAUAGAUGGAUCCGCGCCGCAUUAGCUAGUUGGUAAGGUAACGGCUUACCAAGGCAACGAUGCGUAGCCGACCUGAGAGGGUGAUCGGCCACACUGGAACUGAGACACGGUCCAGACUCCUACGGGAGGCAGCAGUAGGGAAUCUUCCGCAAUGGGCGAAAGCUUGACGGAGCAACGCCGCGUGAGUGAUGAAGGUCUUCGGAUCGUAAAGCUCUGUUAUUAGGGAAGAACAAAUGUGUAAGUAACUAUGCACGUCUUGACGGUACCUAAUCAGAAAGCCACGGCUAACUACGUG